rnacentral:snRNA from 1 species
GGAUGUGAGGGUGCUCUGGCUAUGACAUCAUCACCUGAUUGAUCAUCAUGAUUGAAUUGGCCAAUGUGGCUGGCCAGGCAGGUGUCCCUUUCCUCACUCACUGCUCCAUGUUCAUUUCUCCAGAAGCUGUGCGCUCAGUUAAAGAGGAUGACCUUCCCUGUAGAGGAUGACCUUCCUUGAUAGAGGAUGACCUUCCCUGAUCGAGGAUGACCUUCCCUGUAGAGGAUGACCUUCCCUGUAGAGGAUGACCUUCCUUGAUAGAGGAGGACCGUCUUUGGUCAAGGGUAUAUAAACAGCUGUGCUCCCCUGCUACAACCUCCAAACAAACUCUCAAGGUCCAUAAGUUUCCAACACAUGAAACCUGGGGAUAUUAAAACCACAGCAUCCACCAACUAUCCAAGCCGUCCAAGUCAGAU